CUGAUCUAAACAAAAGAGAUACCAGCCGUUAACGUUGGUGGCACAGUGCUUUUCGUUGGCUUCGUAUAGUGCUCGGUUUCCUGGAUCUCCAUUUCUGUCUGCUGAGCAAGCUGCAGGUUCCAGCGAAAUAACUACACCAUCAAUCCUAUCAUUUCACUCUUUGCCAGAAAUCAUAGAGGGGUAUUUCCAAAACUUGCCAACUACUCCUCAAAAUGUUAUCCCAUGACCUCCUCUUUAUUAUGCAACUGUAUUGUGGAAUAAACAGAUACUGGCAGGCUUGAUGUGCUGGUAUCUCUGUGGGCACGGACAGAUAAGAGAUGAACACCAUUACAAGUUCUUAAGGUCCUGACAUACAACGGUUCUUACAUAACACUCAUUCCUGCUUUGAAACAACACCCAAUGCAGCAGUUGACCCGGUCACCUGCAGUAAGGGAUAUAAAUCACAACAGAAUGCAAUAAGGAAAACAAUAAAGCUGCAAAAUGAUGUGAUAUAACGAUAUGAAAUAAUUUCAUCCUGUUUUUCCAAUGUAAGUUCAUGUAGCAAAUACAUUCCAUCAGCAGUAAUGUGCUGUUAAGUUUUUGUCAAUGGAAGACACACACAUGAUUAGAUACAACCAUCAACCCUUUUAAGGAAUGUGUGUUUUCCCUUAUUGCGAUACAAUUGAAGAGAAACAAAGCAGCCCCAAAAUUUUAACGUCAAUAUUAUUUUCCAUAACACCAAACAGAUAAAUGUUUUCUAAAUGUUGUCCUGUGUUUCAGAGACACCAUAUACUGUACACUGUAGAGCUGGUGGAGGCCAUCACGGUGGUCUGGUGAAAGGCCCUCUGGGAUACAAGGGGACUUCCGGAGUUUCGGGCAGGCCAGAUAAGACAACCGGGAGAGCCGCAUCAGAUAAGGCACUAUUCACUCUGGACGCAUUAAUGUUCCAAUCGGUAGCCAAAAGUCUCAAGGGAGGACAUAAUCUAGAAGAUCUUGGAAAGACCAGAGUUUCUGGGUGAAAAAGGACCAAAAACACAACUGUUGAAGAUCUGGAAAGAGGACCCUCCUGGGCACCUUUCCGUUGAAGGUUUCCCAAGCCUGCCCAACCAGUCGGCCCAAGGUAGACCCAGAACUCCCUGGAGGGACUACGUAUCCCAUCUGGCCUGGGAACCCUUGGGAUCCCCAGGAAGAGCUGGAAAGCGUGACGGGGGAAGUCAGGGAUACCCUACUUGGCCAGCUUACUCCGUGACCCGAGCCCAAAUAAGCAGAAGAUGGAUGGAUGGUUAUGCACAGCACCAGGACAGAAACACUAAACUAACAGGUUUAGACAAAAGUCAUUUUUGUGUCCACAGUGCAAGGCCCAUUAAGUGACACAGAAUCCUUGUAGUUGUCAGGGUUAUCAGGGAGUGUGUAAACAGACCACUGUUUAAGCCCAAUUAACACAGAGAAAUGUUGAAAUGAAUGGUUCACAGUCCCAGUAGGUCAAGCCAAGGUCGACUUUUAUGUCCUGUAAUCUACGACUUAUAGUCCCCUGUAUGGGGCGAAAACAUGUAACUGUUGUGUUCUGUCAGAGCGAGAACAUGUUUCUAUCUGUCUGAUACAGUAUCUGCUGCGGCGUGCCUCUGAUGCUGAGCGGAAAUUGAUUGACACAGAGCAAUAAUACCCACAUAAAACCGAUUUCUUUCAUUCUAGUAAUGAUACGGCGAUGUUGUGCAUAAAUUUGAAGAAAAUGUC